rnacentral:rRNA from 1 species
AGUCAACAUGCCCAGGGGACGUGGAUAACCUCGGGAAACUGAGGAUAAACCGCGAUAAGUCACUACUUCUGGAAUGGGUAAUGACUUAAAUCUAUAUGGCCCCUGGAUUGGACUGCGGCCGAUCAGGCUGUUGGUGAGGUAAUGGCCCACCAAACCUGUAACCGGUACGGGCUCUGAGAGGAGGAGCCCGGAGAUGGGCACUGAGACAAGGGCCCAGGCCCUAUGGGGCGCAGCAGGCGCGAAACCUCUGCAAUAGGCGAAAGCCUGACAGGGUUACUCUGAGUGAUUUCCGUUAAGGAGAUCUUUUGGCACCUCUAAAAAUGGUGCAGAAUAAGGGGUGGGCAAGUCUGGUGUCAGCCGCCGCGGUAAUACCAGCACCCCGAGUGGUCGGGACGUUUAUUGGGCCUAAAGCAUCCGUAGCCGGUUCUGCAAGUCUUCCGUUAAAUCCACCUGCUUAACAGAUGGGCUGUGGAAGAUACUAUAGAGCUAGGAGGCGGGAGAGGCAAGCGGUACUCGAUGGGUAGGGGUAAAAUCCGUUGAUCCAUUGAAGACCACCAGUGGCGAAGGCGGCUUGCCAGAACGCGCUCGACGGUGAGGGAUGAAAGCUGGGGGAGCAAACCGGAUUAGAUACCCGGGUAGUCCCAGCUGUAAACGAUGCAGACUCGGUGAUGAGUUGGCUUUAUGCCAACUCAGUGCCGCAGGGAAGCCGUUAAGUUUGCCGCCUGGGGAGUACGGUCGCAAGACUGAAACUUAAA